GGAGGUGCGUGGGUUCUGGUGAAUCCCACAGUCUUCAAAACUGCUGUGAGGCGCGACGAGCGUCUCGGGGGAGUUCGAUUCUCCUGCACUUCCGCCA
rnacentral:tRNA from 1 species